AAUAUAGAAGAUUUUAUGUUAAAACUAGUAACAAGAAGAAGAACUUCUCCUACAAUGCAAAUGUAAAUCAGACAGGACACCCCACUGAUAAUUAACACCAAUGAACAAAAAAUAGCAACCCAACAAGAAAACCCUACUAUUCCAUGCGUUAAACUAACACCAGAGCAUUUCAAGAAAGAUUUAAAGAAAGAGAAGGAACUCGGCAAAUAUUAACCUCGCCUGUUUACCAAAAACAUCGCCUCUUGAAUAAAUAUAAGAGGUCCAGCCUGCCCAGUGACAAUGUUCAACGGCCGCGGUAUCCUAACCGUGCGAAGGUAGCGUAAUCACUUGUUCUUUAAAUAAGGACUAGUAUGAACGGCACCACGAAGGUUAUACUGUCUCCUUUUUCUAAUCAGUGAAACUAAUCUCCCCGUGAAGAAGCGGGGAUAAAAAUAUAAGACGAGAAGACCCUAUGGAGCUUUAAACUACAAGGCACUUGCCCCCAUAUAAUUAAAUUCCAGAAAAUCAUUACCACCCAGGCAACAUGACCUUUAGUUUUAGGUUGGGGUGACCGCGGAGUAAAGAAAAACCUCCACAUUGAAAGGAGACCUCUCCUUAGCCAAGAGCCACACCUCUAAGCACCAACAAAAAGACAUUAAUUGACCCAAUAUUUUGAUCAACGAACCAAGUUACCCUAGGGAUAACAGCGCAAUCCACUUCAAGAGCUCCUAUCGACAAGUGGGUUUACGACCUCGAUGUUGGAUCAGGGUACCCCGGUGGUGCAGCCGCUACCAAAGGUUCGU
rnacentral:rRNA from 1 species